CUUGACAUAUCGGCUCCCUUAUUUGAAAACGUGUUGCUUCUUUACAAAAAAAAGUACCUAUUUCACAAAAAAAUUUUUGAAUUGUAGUAAAAACUAAACUUUUGGUGCAAAUUAUUUGGUCGGCAACACCGUUUCCACUUUGACGCUUUGCUUUGUUAUUAUUCGUUGAAAAUCUUUUAUCUGUUUGUAAACAUUCAAGUCGAUUAUGUCUUACAUAUGGUGAUAGUCGAUUAUUUGGAGUCGGCUUUCUGCUGCAGAAAACCACCGGUUUGUGAAUUUUCAUACAUGUUUUUAUAGCAGCGUUUUUGCAAAUAUAACAGAUACCACCUUACAUACAAUAC